AACGAACGCUGGCGGCAGGCUUAACACAUGCAAGUCGAGCGCCCCGCAAGGGGAGCGGCAGACGGGUGAGUAACGCGUGGGAACAUACCCUUUAGUACGGAAUAGCCUCGGGAAACUGGGAUUAAUACCGUAUACGCCCUACGGGGGAAAGAUUUAUCGCUAAAGGAUUGGCCCGCGUUGGAUUAGCUAGUUGGUGAGGUAAUGGCUCACCAAGGCGACGAUCUAUAGCUGGUCUGAGAGGAUGAUCAGCCACACUGGGACUGAGACACGGCCCAGACUCCUACGGGAGGCAGCAGUGGGGAAUAUUGGACAAUGGGCGAAAGCCUGAUCCAGCCAUGCCGCGUGAGUGAUGAAGGCCCUAGGGUUGUAAAGCUCUUUCGCUAGAGAAGAUAAUGACGGUAUCUAGUAAAGAAGCCCCGGCUAACUUCGUG
rnacentral:rRNA from 1 species